UGAGGCAUUCAUGGUAUUCUAUGAUUUCGCUUCCAUGCUAACCAACUUUAUUUUAAAAGAAAGGAUCUGGUCUGUUGCUAUGGAUGAAUUAAUGGCCAACGGAAUGCAGAAUGCCGAGCAGGCUUUGCAUUUAGCGUGCUCUUUUUUCCUUCUAGUUCUUCAUAUCUUUUAAAUGUUAGAUUUGAUUGUGCUUCAGGCUCUUCAUUCUGUAUUCUCUGCUGGGGGUCUAGCCUCCAUUCUUCAUUCUGAUGAACAUAAGGAUUUGUUUCCCCAACCUGCAAAAGUAAAACGUCUAAGUGGUGUCCCUUGAUACGGAAUGAAAACCAAUGUAGCUGGUGGACAUACCUUAAGGGAUAUGUUUGGGGGUGUGGUUACCUAACAGGGUGUGCAAGAGAGUGUCAAAUACUUGUAAUAGCCAAACGGAUCCAACUUCGGCCCAAGAGAGUUUAAUUCCAUCGUCUACUGAUUCUGGCGUCAUCUGGCAUGACUGCAAAAGGGAUCAUGCUCAUUGUAACUCAUCACAAAUGCAGUUCUGCAAGAUGCUUUUCAAGUUUGUUUCUAUCAUGUUUUGACUCCAUUUUUUAAUGGCAAGUCAAAUGUAGAUGAAUUGCCCAUAACUGCUCUUUUCUUCUUUCUCCUGUUGAAGCAAACUUCAGGAACCAAAUGCUCAACGCUAUAAAUGGUUCCUCAAAGUCCAAUCAAAAUGGUUUCUUCAUAGACUUGCUCAUUGCCAGUCAGAUACAGGAUACAUAGUAUGAGAAAGAUUCUCCUCGUAUUCGAAACGCUGUA